GUAGUAAUUAAUAGAAUAGUAAAAUAUCAAGAAAAUCAAUCCAGUAGGUCGGGGGUUCGAAUCCCUCUGGGUACACCA
rnacentral:tRNA from 1 species